GUCGUUGGUCUAUUAUGAUCAGAUCACAUGGUGAUACCAUGAUUUGGGUCAAAAGUUCCAUCCCACCUGAACAGGCUGAAAUUCCAGGCAUUUUUUUCAAACAGCUGUUACAAAAAAAUGGCAUUAUCAUAAUUUUCACAAUUUCAGAGUGCCUCACAGUGUGGAAAUAUCAUCAAAACAACAGCCAACUGUUGGGAGAUGUUGACUAGAACAACAACACAUUCUCUCCUCUGGCCCACUUCAAAGCUGCCUCACCUAGGAACAAUGGGUAAAGAUGUAGUGACGCCGAGGGUUGUACCCCGAAUCAAUACACGAUGCACAAAUAUCUCAGAGUUCAGUGUUCUGAACAGAGAGAUAGAGAGAGUGGACCUAAUCACCAUGAUGGAGAAGAUAGAGCAGACAGCUUGUGUGACGGCUACUCUCUCUGUCUCAGUGUCACCCGAUUACACCACAGCUAUUUGUUCUGGCUAGUAUUUACAUUAUCACACAAAAAUUGGAUUUUGCUGAAAUGUUCUGCAAUAUAAUAUCAUUAUUUUUAAAGUUUCCUUUGUUGUUUUCCCUCAGUGGGAUGUGUAUACUACCAACAAUAUUCUGCCUGUUCUGUUGCUGCUCUUGCCAGAGAAAUGCAUUAUUGAAAAUACCUAUUCCCCUACUUCACCCACUUCUUUAACUUUUUUUUAUUGAACUACAUUCCCUUUCUUAAUAAACAAUCAUUUCUCAAAUACUUAUUUACAUAAAAAUGGGUACAAAA